rnacentral:rRNA from 1 species
UACGUAGGUGGUAAGCGUUGUCCGGAUUUACUGGGCGUAAAGGGCGUGCAGGCGGUUUGUUAAGUCUAGGGUGAAAGCUCCCGGCUCAACUGGGAGAGGUCCUUGGAUACUGGCGAACUUGAGGGAUGCAGAGGAAAGUGGAAUUCCCGGUGUAGUGGUGAUAUGCGUAGAUAUCGGGAGGAACACCAGUGGCGAAGGCGGUUGCCUGGAGCUUUGCUGACGCUGAUGCGCGAAAGCGUGGGGAGCGAUCCGG